rnacentral:lncRNA from 10 species
CAGAGCCCUGACUCUGCUGCCAGCUUGCUUUACAGUGAGGCCAAGGAAGGAGCCACGGAGGGUGUGCUGGCCCUAGGAGCAGGAUUCCUGUGUGUUCACUAAGCUUGCAGCAUCAAGAAGCCACCAGCCAGCAUGGACAUGAGGGAAAACAAAACACUCAUGGGAAGAAGCGGGACCAGGCUCCAGCCGCAAAGUCGCCCUUCAUGCUUCACGCAAGAAAAAGGCCUCAGAGGGAGCUGUGAGGACAUGAUCAAAUCACUGUGCCAGCUGGUCACCAGGGGGCCACCACUCCAAGGAACCCUGAAGAUGGUGGACAGGAAUUAGGAAGUGUUGAACCGUCUUAGAUGGAAUGCUGUUCAUAUGAAAGCAAGACGCUCUAUCCUAGAAUUGCUUUUAUCAUUUGGUUCUAUUGCCACUUUUCGAAAAUUGUGUGACGUG